UGGAUCCGAGGCUAAAACCCCAGAAGGCAAAGAUUGAUGGCUUUCAAUGAGGUAGCAAGAGAAGCGCGCACGUACCUAUCAUGGGCAGCACCUGUAUGAACGCCUGUGAGUAGUGCACCCCUAGUCACGCGAGUGCCACCUGUCGCACCUGGAGGACCCUGAAGCAAACUUUUGGCGGAGUUACAUGACCAGAAGUAUAGAAGGAACGCGCGGUUGUACCUAAUCCACCGUACAGCUCUGAUUUGGCAGCUGUUUGGGCCUAUGAAGGACAGCCUACGCUAGGUCAAGGUCAACGCCUUUCCGUCCUAGUGACUCGUGCUCUGCUAGCUGUGGCAGGCAGACUGCACUCCCCUUUCCACCCAACGUCACUCCUCCUCCUCUGCAUUCGUCCGAGCGUCUCAGUUUAGUUUCGUUUCGUUCUUCGUGGCGUGAUGGCUGAACAACGCACACGGAAGUCCCCGACUUUGGAGCGGAAGGUGGCACUUAUCAAAGGCCUGGCAGCAAGUUCAUCAAGCCAUCAUCGAGAACUGUUUCGUUCAUCCGGGCUUCUGGUCUUCCACCGCCGUACCUGAGCCAGCAGAUUAGUUCAGUGGCUGUGAUGAAAGUGCAACGAGGACUUGGACUUGGAACAUCGAGGACUAUGCGCUUUACGACGGCGUUGUUCCAGUAGCGGUCAACUGAGUGACACUGAAAUCGUCAAGAGUGCCCACGGUAGUGACGUGCCGGGAGGAGCAUCUCAUGUGUAGCAUUGAAGUGCUUGAAGAUUCUUUCUUGUUCCCAAAGGCGAAUGCCAGGCAGAUUGCU